ensembl:miRNA
CCCCAGCUAAGUGAAGAGCCCUGUGGGGACACCUGGAUUCAGAGAACAUGUCUCCACUGAGCUCUUGGGCCUUGAUGGCAGCU